GAUGAACGCUGGCGGCGUGCCUAAUACAUGCAAGUCGAGCGAACAGACGAGGAGCUUGCUCCUCUGACGUCAGCGGCGGACGGGUGAGUAACAUGUGGAUAACCUACCUCUAAGACUGGGAUACCUUCGGGAAACCGGAGCUAAUACCGGAUAAUAUAUUGAACCGCAUUGUUCAAUAGUGAAAGACGGUUUUGCUGUCACUUAUAGAUUGAUCCGCGCCGCAUUAGUUAGUUGGUUAGGUAACGGCUUACCAAGGCAACGAUGCGUAGCCGACCUGAGAGGGUGAUCGGCCACACUGGAACUGAGACACGGUCCAGACUCCUACGGGAGGCAGCAGUAGGGAAUCUUCCGCAAUGGGCGAAAGCGUGACGGAGCAACGCCGCGUGAGUGAUGAAGGUGUUCGGAUCGUAAAACUCUGUUAUUAGGGAAGAACAAAUGUGUAAGUAACUAUGCACGUCUUGACGGUACCUAAUCAGAAAGCCACGGCUAACUACGUG
rnacentral:rRNA from 1 species